rnacentral:rRNA from 1 species
AAGCGCUUGUGACCAGACUUGAGUUUGACGGUUCCCCGGGUCUUUUGACCCGGCUAUUCCGUCCUAACCAGGCCAGCAUCGGUUUGGGUGGUCGGUUAAAGGUCUUGGGAAUGUAUCAACCUCCGGGUCGACUUAUAGCCCAGGACGUAAUGCGGCCUACCCGGACCGAGGAACGCGCUUUUGCUCGGAUGUUGGCGUAAUGGUUACAAGCGG